GCUGGCGGCAGGCCUAAUACAUGCAAGUCGAGCGCACCCUUCGGGGUGAGCGGCGGACGGGUGAGUAACGCGUGGGAAUAUGCCCUUCUCUAAGGAAUAGCCUCUGGAAACGGAGAGUAAUACCUUAUACGCCCUUUGGGGGAAAGAUUUAUCGGAGAAGGAUUAGCCCGCGUUAGAUUAGAUAGUUGGUGGGGUAAUGGCCUACCAAGUCUACGAUCUAUAGCUGGUUUGAGAGGAUGAUCAGCCACACUGGGACUGAGACACGGCCCAGACUCCUACGGGAGGCAGCAGUAGGGAAUCUUAGACAAUGGGGGCAACCCUGAUCUAGCCAUGCCGCGUGUGUGAUGAAGGCCCUAGGGUCGUAAAGCACUUUCGCCAGAGAUGAUAAUGACAGUAUCUGGUAAAGAAACCCCGGCUAACUCCGUGCCAGCAGCCGCGGUAAUACGGAGGGGGUUAGCGUUGUUCGGAAUUACUGGGCGUAAAGCGCACGUAGGCGGAUUAGUAAGUUAGAGGUGAAAUCCCAGGGCUCAACCCUGGAACUGCCUUUAAUACUGCUAGUCUUGAGUUCGAGAGAGGUAAGUGGAAUUCCGAGUGUAGAGGUGAAAUUCGUAGAUAUUCGGAGGAACACCAGUGGCGAAGCGGCUUACUGGCUCGAUACUGACGCUGAGGUGCGAAAGUGUGGGGAGCAAACAGGAUUAGAUACCCUGGUAGUCCACACCGUAAACGAUGAAUGCAGACGUCAGCAAGUAUACUUGUUGGUGGCACACCUAACGGAUUAAGCAUUCCGCCUGGGGAGUACGGUCGCA
rnacentral:rRNA from 1 species